rnacentral:rRNA from 1 species
AUUGAACGCUGGCGGCAUGCUUUACACAUGCAAGUCGAACGGCAGCGCGCGCCUCGGCCUGGAGGCGAGUGGCGAACGGGUGUGUAAUACCUCGGAGCGUGCCCAGGAGUGGGGGAUCUCCCGGCGAAAGUCGGUUUAAUACCGCAUACGAUCUGAGUGUGAAAGCGGGGGCUCUUCGCAUCUCGCGCUUUUGGCGCGGCCGGUGGCAGAUUAGCUAGUUGGUGGGGUAAACGCCUCCCAAGGCGACGAUCUAUAGGUGGUCUGAGAGGGCGACCAGCCACACCGGGACUUGGGCAAGGCCCCGACUCCCAAGGGAGGGAGGAGGUGGGAAAUUUUGGGAAAGGGGCGAAAGCUGGUCCAGGAAAGGCGCGUGUGUGAUGAAGGCCUUCGGGGUUGAAAGCACUUUUUGCGGGAACGAAAAGGACUGUGCCAAAACCACGGUUCGAUGGCGGUACCCGCAGAAUAAGCAACGGCUAACUACGUG